rnacentral:rRNA from 1 species
GACGAACGCUGGCGGCGUGCCUAAUACAUGCAAGUCGAACGGUCUGACUGGGAGCUUGCUCUUGUUCGGUCAGCGGCGGACGGGUGAGUAACACGUCGGCAACAUGCCCGCCAGACCGGGAUAACUCCGGGAAGCCGGAGCUAAUACCGGAUAACACCGAAGACCGCAUGGUCUUUGGGUGAAAGGCGGCGCUAGCUUCCACUUGCGAAUGGGCCCGCGGCGCGUUAGCUAGUUGGUGAGGUAACGGCUCACCAAGCCGGGGCGGCGUAGCCGGCCGGAGGGGGUGGGCGGCCAGACUGGGAGGGAGAGACGGCCCAGACGGCUACGGGAGGCAGCAGUAGGGGAGCAUUCGCAAGAGGCGAGAGCCUGACGGAGCGAGGCCGGGCGAGCGAGGGAGGCCGUCGUGUCGGUAGGGACGGUUGUGAGGGAGGAAGGAGCGCCGUUUGCAGAAGGGGGCGGGGUGACGGUACCUGAAGAGGAAGCCCCGGCUAACUACGUG